rnacentral:rRNA from 1 species
UACGAAGGGGGCUAGCGUUGCUCGGAAUUACUGGGCGUAAAGGGCGCGUAGGCGGUCGUGACAAGUCACUUGUGAAAUCUCCGGGCUUAACUCGGAACGGUCAAGUGAUACUGUCGGACUAGAGUACAGAAGGGGCAACUGGAAUUCUCGGUGUAGCGGUGAAAUGCGUAGAUAUCGAGAGGAACACCUGCGGCGAAGGCGGGUUGCUGGGCUGAUACUGACGCUGAGGCGCGAAAGCCAGGGGAGCGAACGGG